rnacentral:tRNA from 1 species
GCCGAGGUAGCUCAGCCUGGGAGAGCACCCGGCUGAAGACCGGCCCAAUCGCGCGUUCAAAACCUCUAUGGGGAAAAUCGCGCCCUCGGCACCA